UACGUAGGGUGCAAGCGUUAUCCGGAAUUAUUGGGCGUAAAGAGCUCGUAGGCGGCUUGUCGCGUCGACUGUGAAAUCCCGCGGCUCAACUGCGGGUCUGCAGUCGAUACGGGCAGGCUAGAGUUCGGUAGGGGAGACUGGAAUUCCUGGUGUAGCGGUGAAAUGCGCAGAUAUCAGGAGGAACACCGGUGGCGAAGGCGGGACUCUGGGCCGAUACUGACGCUGAGGAGCGAAAGCGUGGGGGAGCGAACAGG
rnacentral:rRNA from 1 species